UCUAAAUUAAAUUCGACUGUAGCGCGACGUAUAAACUAGGCCUUAGCCUUGUAGAGUUUUUUUAAUAACUCUUUGUUAGCGUAAAGAAAGGUAUGUUACUCGCACCUAUCAGAUGGCAGCAUUUGGGUAUGUAUCACGCACCAAUCAGAUUACCGUAUUAGGUUAUUGUCUCGCACUAAUCAGAUUGCCGCAUUAGGGUACGUAUCACGUACCAAUCAAAUCGCCACAUUAGGGUAGGUAUCUCGCACCAAUCAGAUCACAGCACUGGGGUAUGCUUGCAUCAAACAUGGUGUCGUCCCUUUUGCCAAUCGUGUUAGGAAAUUUAGUUACCACGAUACGUUUCUACCAUUUAGAAGUUAAAACGUGUUUUGUAUACCGCACCUUCAAUUACAACGCACACACCGUCAGCUGAAGGUCUAACAAGAAAUUAUCACUAGAGCUUUUUGUUUUGGAAGAGCUAGUUUUGCUGACUCGUGUAAAACUUGCGCAAAGCAUUUGCAUCGAGUAUAUUUAAUUGAUAAUCGUGUUUUUGCCCUGCAACUACUCUUUUUGCGAAGUUUGAAAAGACCACCAAGUUUUAUUUAUUUUCUGCGUCGACUGCCUUCUUAAAUAUCCGUUUCUUUGCUUCUAAAAGUUCUCCAUGAAUGAAAUAUCGUGUUUAAACGGUUCUUUCCCACUACAAUUACGUGUUUACUUUUGACUCGUCACUAAGGAAUAGACUUUCCCAGUUGCGUAGCAUGCCUGUGUUUCUUAUAAUUACUCCACGCAAAAAAGAUGUCUUGCAAUUGACUCUUUGACAUUAUUACAUCUAUUUGGAGUACCUUCGGAUGAUGAGAGUGAAACAAAACAACAAUGUUAUUAGCAGCAAAUGAGAACUGAGAGCAAAUUAAAGUAUCUCCUACUUCUUCCAAGAGACAAAGCAUUGUUUUGUUAAGAAAGUUCUUGAGUUUCUAGGGCCAUAAUCGGAAAAAUACAUGUGAAACUCGCCCAAACCAAACAAUUGACAUAAAUUUAGCUGCUGCAUUGUGUACUUUGGUUGGAAUUCUCGACUCCCUCUAAAAAAUUACCCUACUGGAGUACCCAAUGCAUUGUGGUUAGAGUGGUAUCAAAACCACCAAAAUGGCUCACAAUUUCCCGCGAAGUUCUUCGUUGAAUUCUUUUACCGAUGUCUCUUCUGACCCUAGCUCUCCUGAGAGCUCUAGAGCAGUUCAAAAAGAGUCGAUUGUGCAUUAAGAGAAUUUAUAUCAUGCUGGGUUAGGCAGCUAAAACGAUGGGAAUACCUCCAUAAGAGAACCGCUUUGAGAGAUGAACGACAACAACACCAGUCCUGAUUGUAGUACAGCUAUUGCGUGGGGUAAAAGUCUGAGAAGCAUGCCGCCAUUCGGAGAAAAAGAAAUUGACAAUCGACUAAUCCACAAUUCGAAGACCAUGCCCGACCUAAACGCCCGAUUAGCGUACAGAAAUAAAAAGCAAGGCUACAAAGUUUGGAAGGAAGGGUAUGUACGAAACGUUUUUACUAAAACUGACAUUCUCUCUGGGGUUAAACUGCUUUUCUGGUUAAAGCUAAUGUUUCUGCUUCAAUGAAGCAACAGAACCAUUUGGUCUGCUGUCAUCUAGACCGGCUUUAUGGUGAAGUGGCUUUCAGUAAUUGCAACUAUAAAUCUGCAUUUGUAAAUCUGUUUGUUAUAUCUUUUGCGUGACUACAAAAAUCUCGAACUGGAAGAAGUCCCGGAUGAUGUGACCUGCACUCAAAAGCUCCAGCAGUGGAGUAUUCCAUCCAACUCUGGUACGACAAAAGCAGUCAAGUUUGAAGAACUGACUUUUGAGAAAGCUGAUUACGCUAGAGACAAAGAAAAUAAAAGAAAGCGUCCACUGGUCUAAGGAAAACGAGAAAAUUAUUGUUCUACUCCGCCAUAUGGAAAGAAGGUUCAAACUGAUGAAUUAAAAGCUUUAUAUACACCUAUACAAAAAAAUGGAUGUCCCCUUCAUUGAAGUGGGGAAUUGAUGAUGAACAUGUUGCUCAUGAAAUGUACGAGUCCAAGAGAGGGGAAGAGGUUGCUGACUGUGGGUUGAUUAGGAACCCUUCCUGGUCCUGGCUUGUAUUUAGCCAAGAUGGCAUUGUUUGUAGGGAAGCAAAUCCAAUAGGAGCCAUUGAGAUUAAGCUAACAUUGUUUUAUGCUCAGUACCUUGUGGAUUAGGCCAAGGAUUGCAACAUUUCCUUUGAUCUUUGUAAAUGAACAGUUGAGUUAAUCUAAAAACCUGAAAUGGACUUUUAUUGGUUCCACUACAACAAUUUUUUGCAUUUAUAUAUUCUAUCGUACUUUUAAGGUAGUACAAUUUUAAAUAAACAAAUUCGCCAGAGGGGUAGAUAAUGCGACAACUGACAUCCAAGAACACUUUAUAGCAGAAAUCUGAAAACAUUUUAUUCAAGGUUAUGUAACAAAAGUGUAAUAACAAAAUCUAUCACAGGUCAUUGCUUUGAUUCCUUUGAGUUCAAGGAUAGAAAAUGUUGAACAUUCUCAAAAUAAAAGGGUAGUGUUUUCUAUGAAUAAACUGCACAUGUAGUUA
rnacentral:lncRNA from 1 species